GACGAACGCUGGCGGCGUGCUUAACACAUGCAAGUCGAGCGGAGCGGCGAACGGGUGAGGAACGCGUGAGUAACUGCCCCCCUCUCUGGGAUAACAGUUGGAAACGGCUGCUAAUACCGGAUAGUGGGGGAUGACUCGCGUCCUAUCAGCUUGUUGGGGGGGUAGUGGCCUACCAAGGCGACGACGGGGGGCCGGCCUGAGGGGGCGACCGGCCACAGUGGGCUGAGAUACGGCCAAAGCUCCUACGGGAGGCAGUAGUGGGGAGUAGUGCACGAGGGGUGAAAUCCUGAUGCAGCAGCGCCGCGUGCGGGAUGACGGCCUUCGGGUUGUAAACCGCUUUCAGCCAUGACGCGUUAGUGGCAGAAGAAGCACCGGCUAACUACGUGCCAGCAGCCGCGGUAAUUC
rnacentral:rRNA from 1 species